GUCAAGUCAAUCAAUGUGUUUUUCCUGUACUCCUUUUUGCUAUUCUCCUUUUUCUAGUCCUCCUGGUUUUGACCAUUGCCUGGUUCUGGACUCUGUACCCGUCUGCCUACCUUGACCAUGAGCCUGUCUGCCACUCUGGACUCUAAUCUGGUUUUGACCAUUUUGCCUGUCCACGACCAUUCUCUUGCCUACCCCUUUGGAUUAUAAAAAAUUACCCAUCUCUCCCCCCAGGUUAUCAGUGGCCAGCCAGUGUGUACGGUGAGACGCCUCCUGAAUGUUGAAUGAGAGGGUUAAGGCCCGGAGGAGCUGUGCUGGGUCCCCAGCUAAAGACAUCUUGGACCCGGCCCUCAUUGCAGAUUUCCACCGCCGAUACACCAGUCAGCCCAGUUAUGCACCCAGUCAGCCAUGUGGGUUUAACCAAUGAGGAGAUGGCACAUGGGUACCUGCUUCUAUAAACCAAUGAGGGAUGGGAGAGGCAGGACUUGCAGCACGAUCUGCGUCACAAAUAGAACUGACUUCUAUUUUAGCCCUUGGCAACGCAGACGCUCGUUG
ensembl:lncRNA